rnacentral:misc_RNA from 1 species
GGUGAAGAACGUAGCGAAAUGCGAUAAGUAAUGUGAAUUGCAGAAUUCAGUGAAUCAUCGAAUCUUUGAACGCACCUUGCGCCCUUUGGCUAUUCCGAAGGGCAUGCCUGUUUGAGUAUCAUGAACACCUCAACUCUCAUGGCUUGCCAUGAUGAGCUUGGACUUUUGGGGGUCUUGCUGGCCUGUGGUCAGCUCCUCUCAAAUGAAUUAGCCUGCCAGUGUUUGGUGGCAUCACAGGUGUGAUAACUAUCUACGCUUGUGGUUUUCCACCAGGUAACCUUCAGUGAUGAAGGUUCGCUGGGGCUCAUAAACGUCUCUCCUCGGUGAGGACAGCUCUUUGAACGUUUGAUCUCAAAUCAGGUAGGACUACCCGCUGAACUUAAGCAUAUCAAUAAGCGGAGGA